rnacentral:rRNA from 1 species
AUACGUAGGGGGCGAGCGUUGUCCGGAAUUAUUGGGCGUAAAGCGCGCGCAGGCGGCCGAUUAAGUCAGGUGUGAAAGGCUGCGGCUCAACCGCAGAGUUGCAUCUGAAACUGGUCGGCUUGAGUGCAGGAGAGGGGAGCGGAAUUCCCGGUGUAGCGGUGGAAUGCGUAGAGAUCGGGAGGAACACCAGUGGCGAAGGCGGCUCUCUGGCCUGUAACUGACGCUGAGGCGCGAAAACGUGGGGAGCGAACAGGAUUAGAUACCCUGGUAGUCCACGCCGUAAACGAUGAGUGCUAGGUGUUGGGGGCAUCAGGCCCUCUGUGCCGAAGGAAACCCAAUAAGCACUCCGCCUGGGGAGUACGGCCGCAAGGCUGAA